rnacentral:tRNA from 1 species
GCCUCCGUGGCCAAAAUGGAUAAGGCAACGGGCUUCUAUCCCGUCGACUGCAGGUUCGAGUCCUGCCGGGGGCG